CUGCUGCCUUCCGUAGGAGUCUGGGCCGUGUCUCAGUCCCAGUGUGAGGGGCCUUCCUCUCAGAACCCCUACGCAUCGUCGCCACGGUGGGCCGUCACCCCGCCGUCUAGCUAAUGCGCCGCAUGCCCAUCCGCCACUGGAUCGCUCCUUUGGCCACCGGAGGAUGCCCUCCGGUGGCGUCACGGGGUAUUAGGCCGCGUUUCCGCGGGUUAUCCCCCUGUGGCGGCCAGGUUGCAUACGUGUUACUCACCCGUGCGCCGG
rnacentral:rRNA from 1 species